GUAGGUGGCAAGCGUUGUCCGGAAUUACUGGGUGUAAAGGGCGUGUAGGCGGGAAGAUAAGUCAGAUGUGAAAUUCCGGGGCUCAACCCCGGCGCUGCAUCUGAAACUAUUUUUCUUGAGUGCUGGAGAGGAAAGCGGAAUUCCUAGUGUAGCGGUGAAAUGCGUAGAUAUUAGGAGGAACACCAGUGGCGAAGGCGGCUUUCUGGACAGUAACUGACGCUGAGGCGCGAAAGCGUGGGGAGCAAACAGGAUUAGAUACCCUGGUAGUCCACGCUGUAAACGAUGGAUACUAGGUGUAGGAGGUAUCGACCCCUUCUGUGCCGCAGUUAACACAAUAAGUAUCCCACCUGGGGAGUACGGCCGCAAGGUUG
rnacentral:rRNA from 1 species